AUCUCAGGUCUUUUCUUUGGGGGAAGUCUUGUUCUGCCGCCUUCUGUCCUAACCACAUCCCUGUGGGAGGGGUGGUGUAUUCAGCCCUCAGUGGGGUCCAGUUGUCCAGCCAGUCCUGGGAGCAUACUGAUCCCUGGCUCAGAACCCUGCCAUGGCUCCCCAAUGCCCGCCAGGUCCAACCCAAACCCCUGGUCCUGGGCCUCCCCUGCUCCAGGGAUCUCCACUUUGAGGAGAGGUGAGGGUGCCCUCUGGAGCCAGGCAUCCUGGUUUGAAUGCCAGUUCUGUGUGACCUCAGGCAAGUCGCUUAACCUCGCUGUGCCCCAGCGUCCUGCCUCACAGAGCUGUUGUGAGAAUUACAUAGGUUUAUAUAUGCAAAGCAUUUAGCACAGCACCUGCUCUGCAAGAAAGUUGUCAAUAAAUGAUAGCUGGAAAGGAUGUCUGUUUCCUGCCAGAAAGGACCUGAGAAAUGUCUUCCAAUGGGGCUUGUGGCUCAGCUCUCAGCUCUGGCCUUUCAGACUGAGCCAGCAGCUUCCAGGCCACCUGGGAGCUGGCUGGAGACUCAGAGUGCCAGGCCCCCUGGGGGUCCUAAAGCAGCAGGUGGGGAGAGGGGCCUGUACACUGUGGCCUGUAGCCAUUUGUGGGGUGGGAGUCCCCUAAGCCCCCAUCCCAGCCUCAGACUGGUCCACCACCUGCAUCCUCUGUCUUCUGGCCUUGCCAAGGCCCCUCUGCCUUGCAAGGCUCCUGCAGGAAGAAUGCCUGUCAACUCUGCCACCUCAGUGCCCACAGCUCCUAUUUUCCUAGAGCCUCAGUUCCUCAAGAAGAAAGGGAAUAAAAACACCCACAUCCAGGGAGGUCAGGGAUGAGCAGUGCACCACCGAGGCAGCCAGUCAGGGCUGAGUAUUGCUACUGGCUGCACCCCAGGCCUGGUGGGUCCCGCCUGCCAUGCUGGAGUCCCCGCAGGGAUGAGGGAAAGACCUGUUGAUGGAGGGGGGCUGGGAUGAACUCUGGGAGCUGAGAGGGAGCACAGUGACUGGAGCCGGAGGGUGGCUGGUGCUUCCCCAAAGCGGCCUGAAUGAGAGAGGAAGGAAGGGAGGGCGAGCUGAGCACACCCUGGGCCCCAGAGGAAGUUGAAAGCCAGGGCCGUGGUGUGACAGUUCAAGGGCCCUAUACCACAGCGCUCCACUCCACCCGCACCUGCUGACGUCAGUGGGAAGUGCAGGACCCCGGCACCCCACCCCACUGGCUCUGGGUCUGUGAGGCAGGGUCCCAGCCUGGAGCCUCCCCCGGCUCGUCUCUGCACAGGUGGGGUGGCUGGUGGUCCCUUGUGUCUUUAGGUCAGCAUUGCCCUCUCCCUGAAUGAAAGGAGCACCUCUUCAUCUCACCCCAUGGGCUCACCUCUCCCAGGUGUGACCCUAGAGUCUAUUAAACACCUGUUAUAUACCAGGUGGUGACACAUCCACAAGCUCAUUUAAUCCUUCACAAUACCCAGAGGAAGGCAUUUUACAGAUAAGGAGACCACCUCAGAGAGGUUCAGUAACCUGCCUGAGGUUGCACAGCUUGGAGGUGGCCCAGCUGGCCUUCCAACGCAGGCCCCCCCAACAUGGAGUUCCUCCCGCCACCUGUGGGCAGGUGGAUUCAUGGUGGAGGUGCCCUCAGGGAGCCGGAGCAGCCGGCCCUCUUGUUUGUCAAGGAGGAAAUGGACACCCAGCACUGGGAGUGAGUGCCCCAGGCCAUGCCACAGGCUCCUGGCAGAACCAGGCAGGAUUAGAGAACUUUCUUUUGGCACUGCCUGCCUGGUAGGAGGGGCUCUGCCGGGAAGUCUCCUUCCUUUACUGCCUCUGGGUCUCUGCUCAGAGGCUACCUCCACAGAGAGAAGCUUUUCAGGGCAGUUCCAGCAGAAGGAGAGCCCUGUCACCCUCAUCUCCUGGCCCCGCUUUAUUUUCUUUCAUGGCACUUAUACUGUCACUUGCAGUUUUAUGUGUCCAGUGAUUUGUUUAUUGUCUCCCGCCUUCCCUGCGACUAGAAUAAUGUGAGCACCGUGACUCCAGCAGGGUCUGUCUUGUUCCCUUGCUUAUACUGGUACCUGGCACACACUCAGCAGUGUUUUGUGGAAUGAAUGAAUGACCGAAUGAGAGGAGUCAGUAGGUAAAGGAUGAAGCUGAUGCUUACGGGGCAAGUUUGGUGUGAAGACAAACUUCUUAAUGGCAAGCUAAAUAGAUCCUUCUAGGUGGAGGAGGGGAAUGAGCAAUAAUUUAGAAAAGGGAAGAGGCCACGUACAGCCAUGUGGUCUGGUACACAGACCAUAAAGUGAGUGGUCCCCGCCCCCCGCCAGUUGUACAGUUCUCAACUCAUACAGCAGUACCUGGCGCCCCAGGGGAUGGGGAAGAACCCGACAGUCUUGGGCCCCUCGGCGGGGAUGAGCAGAGGCAGCUCUGCAGGUGCCUGCAGCUGGAGGAACAGGCUGUACCUUCCACGAGGACGCCACGUGGUCGUGGUUAGCAGUUUGCCAUCCGGUGGCGUUGUCACCACAGACAGUGGUCCAACCAGGGGGAGCAACUGUUAUGCUGUUAGCAAUCUCUGGUGCCUGGAGUGCCCAGCGGGACGCGGGUGGGGAAACCACCUUGACACACCCCACAAACACCGAACGCGGUGGACGAAGAUAAUCGAGACAGCGGGAGGGAGGGCUGUUUCCUGAGGCAGCUCUGGAGGCGGAGGACACUGUGUUCCGAGACGUCUCCACUGAGCAGAGGGCUGGCUGAGCGACCGGUCUCGGCCUCCCCCCCCUCCCCAGCCCCACAGGCUGGGCACAACAACAAUCAGCCUGUGGUGGUGGGGCCCGGCUUCGAUGAGUCACCUUGCCCACAGCGGGCCUUGCUGGGAGAUGUUAUCAGCGCUUCUGCUCACUUAAUUCCCUGGUUGACAUCACCACCGCCUCCAUCCUUUCCUUCUCGGCACUGCAGCCUGCAGCCUGGCGCAUCCUGGAAGAGAAGGCGGUGCAGGGCUCUUGCCAGGAGCUACCAGGGCGGGUAAAUUAGGACCCUCAGCUCUUUGGCCUUUAGCCUCCGGGAGCUUGGCUUAGUUCCUUGCUGCACACGGGCCUGGGUUCAUCUCCCAGGAAAUGCCAUCUGGAGUCAGGUCUGAGAGACACCGUCCCACUCCCGCCCCGUACCUGUCCCCUCCCUCCUGUUCAGAUGUGGGCCAAGCUGCUCCCCUGGGCAGUGUGUCCAGACCCUGGGGUCCAGUCCCCGAGUCCAGCCCUCCGCUGGCUCAAGCCUUCGCUCCUCAAUUCCAUCUUGUGCAAGCCCAGCUGCCUCUGACUGCGCUGCCUCCCUGUCCAGCCACCCUGCCUGGGGAUACAGCUCCCUCAGACAUCCUCCAGCUCCUUCCUCUGCCAUCCCCCGCUCUCGGGGCAGCCUCCUGGGAGCCCAAGCCAGUCCCUUCCCUCCGUAGCCCAGCAUUCCCUCUCUCCUCCCCUCAGUGUCACUGUUCCAGUGCUGAUCCAGUGUGGUCAGUGGCAUACGGAGGAUGCUAUGGGCUCAGCAGAGUGGUGAGUGACAGGGGUGACCAGAGACUGUGCUGUUCCUCCCUUUAGAGACGGACAGCAGGGGGGCGAAGCUCGGUGCCAGGAGAGAGGCUCAGGACCCGGUCUGUGAUGGGAGGCUGCCUGAGCCUGGCCUGCCAGGGAGGCGGUGAGGGAAGUGGGUGGGGAGGGUGGGGAGAAGAGCCAACCCUUUGAACUGCCCCAAGAGCAGCCUCUGUGGCCUCAGGAGACAGCGCCUCAAAUGUCGCUGCCCCGGGCCAGGGAAGGGGGAAGAGGAGGUUUCUUAACACCAGUCACUUUUACUCUAGUUAUUUGACCAAAACGAAUUGUUCUUAGAAGGAA
rnacentral:lncRNA from 1 species